rnacentral:rRNA from 1 species
AUGAGGGCCGGAGAUAGCAGGAUGGAGGCGGACCACCACCACCACGAGGACGAGAGGUCGGCUGAGGCGGGUCAUCGCCGCCAUCGGUGGAAGGGACCGCCGUACAACGACAGGCAGAGGAGCUCCCCGUGGGUGUGGAUGGCGGUGAUCCUGUGCAUGCUGCUGGCCAUCGGCGUCCUCGUGUUGGGCGCCACGAUGUUGGCCGUGUACUUCAUCUACAAGCCCCAGAUGCCGUACAUGGAGGUGACCAACGCGCAGCUCCUGCAGCUCGACUACAGCCCGGCCGACGGCGUCAUCAGGGACAUAAAGUUCAAGUUCGAUCUUCUGGCCAAGAACACCAACUCCAAGGUCGACACCUCCUUCUCCAGCUUCAGCAUCGACGUCAACUUCAACGGCACCACCCUGCUACAGCUGAGCGCCGAGACCUUCAGCGUUGCCCGGAAGAGCUCCGUCACGCUGCCGUACAGCGGGGAGUCGCGCAGGGCGAGGCUGGACCCCGCCGGGAUGCAGGCCAUGGAUGAGGCGCUCAAGUCCGAGCUGGUGCCCAUCGAAGAAGGGCGUCUUCCUCAAGGUCGGCUUCUGGACGCGCCUCAAUUGCCCCCUCGACUUCUACUACCGCACCGGCGUCGUCGCGCCCAUCGACCACGAAAGCUGCCGCUCCAGGUCGCCGUAGCACACUGCUCCUCCUCGGGCUUUGCUUCGCCCUCAUCCUCUGCUCGGCUCCACCCUGCUCUGCUUAGCCCGCCAAUGGCGUAUACUCUGCUAUUCUGUUCAUUAUUGGUUCAUUCGUCUUAG